AUACGGGGGGGACGAGCGUUGUUCGGAUUUACUGGGCGUAAAGGGCGCGUAGGCGGACCUUCAAGUCGGAAGUGAAAACCGUUGGCUUAACCAGCGGCCUGCUUUCGAUACUGUCGGUCUUGAGUGCAGGAGAGGAAAGCGGAAUUCCAGGUGUAGCGGUGAAAUGCGUAGAUAUCUGGAAGAACACCGGUAGCGAAGGCGGCUCUCUGGCCUGUUACUGACGCUAAAGCGCGAAGGCUAGGGUAGCAAACAGGAUUAGAAACCCCAGUAGUCC
rnacentral:rRNA from 1 species